rnacentral:rRNA from 1 species
GNNACGCUGCGGCGGCCUACACAUGCAAGUCGAACGGUAACAGGGGUAGCAAUACCUGCUGACGAGUGGCGCACGGGUGAGUAACGCGUAUGCAACCUGCCCUAUACUGGGGGAUAGCUCGAAGAAAUUCGGAUUAAUACCCCAUAUCAUUAAAGACAGGCAUCUGUUUUUACUGAAAGCUCCGGCGGUAUAGGAUGGGCAUGCGUGCCAUUAGUUAGUUGGUGAGGUAACGGCUCACCAAGACUAUGAUGGCUAGGGGGUCUGAGAGGAUGGUCCCCCACACUGGUACUGAGACACGGACCAGACUCCUACGGGAGGCAGCAGUGAGGAAUAUUGGUCAAUGGACGCAAGUCUGAACCAGCCAUGCCGCGUGCAGGAUGACGGCCCUAUGGGUUGUAAACUGCUUUUGUAUGGGAAGAAACCCCCGAUCGUGAUCGGGGCUGACGGUACUGUACGAAUAAGCAUCGGCUAACUCCGUGCCAGCAGCCGCGGUAAUACGGAGGAUGCAAGCGUUAUCCGGAUUUAUUGGGUUUAAAGGGUGCGUAGGCGGGGUAGCAAGUCAGUGGUGAAAGUCUGCAGCUUAACUGUAGAAUUGCCGUUGAUACUGUUACUCUUGAAUUCAGUUGAGGUAGGCGGAAUGUGUAAUGUAGCGGUGAAAUGCAUAGAUAUUACACAGAACACCGAUUGCGUAGGCAGCUUGCUAAACUGAGAUUGACGCUGAGGCACGAAAGCGUGGGGAGCAAACAGGAUUAGAUACCCUGGUAGUCCACGCCGUAAACGAUGAUUACUGGAUGUGUGCGAUA